rnacentral:rRNA from 1 species
UACAGAGGUGGCAAGCGUUGUUCGGAAUUACUGGGCGUAAAGGGUUCGUAGGUGGCCGACUAAGUCAGACGUGAAAUCCCUCAGCUCAACUGGGGAACUGCGUCUGAGACUGGCCGGCUUGAGUGCAGGAGAGGAACGCGGAAUUCCAGGUGUAGCGGUGAAAUGCGUAGAUAUCUGGAGGAACACCGGUGGCGAAGGCGGCGUUCUGGACUGCUACUGACACUGAGGAACGAAAGCCAGGGGAGCAAACGGG